AGUAUCUGCUAAAGUUGUUGCUGUCUUUGCAUAGCUUUAAUGCUCCCAUUGUAGAGUCUUGGAGGAGCCUAUCUCAAAGAGAGACUUGAGAAUGGAUUUUGCUGUGGCAUUGGUGGACUUCCCCCCUGGAAACCAUGGCCAGGUUCAAUCUGACUCCUUGCCACUGCCAUUUUGAGUGUAAAAGCACUUCUUGUGAGAACAUAAAUUGGAUCCCCACAGCUACGGGAAAGACACGAGAACCCACUGUGACUGUACAGCCCUGCUCUGCCAUUUUCAUCUCCUACCAAUGUGUCUCCUGAAAAGUACUGCUGCUGCGGGGAGGACAACUGUGGUUCAGACAGAAACAGGAGGAAGACAAAAGGGUGAGGUUUGACAUGAAGAAAUAUUCUCCGGAAGGGGGGAUCCCAGGGACGUCUGCAUGCAAAAAGAUACAAGCCACUGUCUGCAUGAGAACAAGGAAGAUAAUGAGUGGAGUAAGACAAGGAUCAAAGGCAAAGAUAGACCAGACUGCUUGUUUGCCACCCCAGCACCUAGAUGAGCACUGAGGGAGGUAUGUUUUCCAUGCAUAUGGAGUGUGGCUAGAAAAGCCUUUGGUUUCUGAAAAAGAAAUCAGUAGGAGCACAAAGUAGUUCUGGUCAUUUGCAGGGGAAUGAAAUGUGCUUUCAGCUCUGCAGCCCCCUGCCACACUUGCCUCUCCAUGAAGACUGAUUUCAAGAAUGCUGAGCUCUAAGCCUUUUUUCCAAAAUCUGUUGUGGCCCCAGAAGCAGCAAUCCUUAGCCAUGCUAGUCCUUGAAGCUCUUGUACAACUCUGAUUUUUUCCUUAGGGUUAAUAAUGUGAAGCCUCUUCAGCUUGAUGAGGAGGCUAAGGAGUUGCUUGUAUUUCUUAAAAAUUCUAUGUACUGGUAGAAGUCACUGCAAGUUUGGCUGAGUUUGUGUGAAAUAAGAAAGGAAGUAUCACUACGUCUGGACAAGGUUUAUCAUGGUAUUCAGGUUUUUGUGAACAACUGUUUUAAUGAAGGUUCUUUACAGACAAGCCUGUCUUGGUGCUAAGCAGAUUUCUCGGCUAGCUAUGUAAACCAGUCUGAAGGAGAGUCAAGCAUUUGGCCCCUUAGCAGGCUGCAGUUCAACACGAAGGAGGGCAACCUAUUUAUUUACUUGUGCUUUUAAAUGACUUGUCUGGAGGCAUCCCACAGAUAUUUUGAGCUGGAAGAAGACUUCACAAAGAAGGAAAAGAAUAGGGAAUCUCUAGAUGCAAAGGGAAUAGAGAGGAGACUUGCUAAACUCUGAAUGCCUGCAGAUGUUCAGAGGCGGUUUUUCAGUAAGCCAGUUCUGAAAUAUUGCAGUCACUGCAAAUCAGUCAGAUUUUGGACCCUGUUCAUCUUUGUCUCCGAACCCGGAUCUUGCAGGAAUAAUUGAGCAUUAAGUAGUUAAUUAAACCUGACUGUAUCCUCACAAACACUGCUUGCAGGAUAAUUCUCUACAUAGCCCCAAUUUGUAGUUAGGGUUUGUGUGGGCAAUUAAUUUCUCUUGUCCUGCCCUCAUGUAAGUUACAGUAAGAUUCUCUUAGUUUGUAAUGAGCUUGAUGGUUGUUAGUGCCUGUGCCUUUUAAAUAAAUUAAUGGU
rnacentral:lncRNA from 1 species